UGAGAUUCCAUGACUCCAUUAAAGCUAGAUCAGUGCUCUUUAUCAACAACGGGACAUUUAGGACAUCUAACACAGAAAAGAGUGAUUCUGGUGAAUAUCUCUUAGAAAUCUACGACUCAGACGGAACACUUUUGAGCAUCGGAGGAGUACAACUGAUCAUUGGAGCUGAGGAGCUAAAAAGUUCACAUCUCUUUGCCAAUAAAAUAAACAGCGGAAAGAGGGGAUUGUGCUGCAGCCUCUACAAGAAACGAGAAACCUACAUACAAGUUAUCCAUACCACCAGAGGGUGGAGGGGGACCUGCAUCAGUUAUCUUGACCAGAUAGAGAGAUCACCUGCAGAGAACAGUCCCGGAUGGUGUCAUGUGUCCUCCAGAUGUGACGC
ensembl:lncRNA